GGAAGGCGGUCUGAGAUGCACUCAGGAGCCCUUCCCGGGCUCUGCUGCUCUGGGCUGGAGCAGGGAGGCUGAAGCCUAUCGCAGCCAGGAGAAGCGGCGGCCCCCCAGCUCGCCCUACCCGCCGCCGCCGCCUGCCCCUCUGCUCUGCCGGGACUGAACCUGGAGGCACAGCUGGGGAGGGGCUGAGCGAGCAGCCAGGGAGGUGCAGAAGUGCUGGAGGCCGGGCGAGCGAGGCAAGCAUCUGACCCCCACCAAUCCACCACCUCAGCUGCUGCCACCCCCGCUUCCCCACCACCACCACCUUCCUUCAUUCCUCCUUUCUGCAAAGAGGCCAAACAGCCAGGGCCAAACGGGCGCGCUCAGGCGCUCGCAUGUCCUCCCCAUCUCGUUCUGAUAUGUGGCAGUUUCUGCAGAGACCCUGACCACCACCCCCAGCGUCCCCACUUUUAUUGCCCCUUCUCGGCAGGAAGAGCGUCCGUGGGUCUGCAGCUUCAUGGGGGGGGGGCGGUGCGCACGUGGACAGCUGAGCAAAAAAGUUAACUGCUCUGCAAAGGACUUGGAUGGAGCUGGGAAAUUGAGGGGGUGGGGGCGGCGGCCAUGUCCGUGUGUGGUAUGCACGUUGCUUCCAGGCGAGAGGAGGAGAAAAAACGAGAGGGAAGGGGGAGGCCGUCUGAGAUGCACUCGGGAGUCUUUCCCGGGCUCUGCUGCUCUUGUCUGAAGCAAGGAGGCCGAAGCCUUGGCUGGCUCGCCUCGGCUGGCUCUGAUCCUUCAUUUUAUUGCAGACAGGAGAAGCGGCCGCCCCCAGCUCGUCCUGGGGAGAGCAGAGCAGCCUCCCCCACUUCUCUGCCAGGACCUCGUAUGUGCAAAUGGUGGAGCAGGCCUCCCAGGGGCCGCUCCACCACGCGCGCUGGAGCACGUGCACAGGCGCAGACGGGUAGAACGGGCAUAUCAGUAGAAAAUUCAGUACUGUGCUAAAUGGCAAGCAACCUACACACAUGGCAACAAGGCAGAAGUCAUCAAGCUUACCAAAAGAAAGAAAGAAAGAAAGAAAGAAAGAAAGAAAGAAAGAAAGAAAGAAAGAAAGAAAGAAAGAAAGAAAGAAAGAAAGAAAGAAAGAAUAGCCCAUACUAGGGAAGACAUACUAAGGCCAAAGUCAGAAUGAAGAGUUGAGCUCUGACCGGAGAUGGAAAAAUUACUUCUUUUAGAGUACAGCUCUCAAGCCAUUUCUGCUUGUGAACAGGCACAACCAAGGAUCCAUCUGGAGCCAGAUUGAUUUCCCCAUGCUUUCUUCUCUUGCUUAGACAGAAUUGGUGCAGCUUCUGGUAUCUUCAGCCUUAUAGGCCGUGGCUGAGCCCGGAGGGUCCUUCUUUUUGGAUUGGUGUUCAUGAGGCAUUAUUUGAUGACUGCAAUAAAAUAAAAGAACCACCCA
rnacentral:lncRNA from 1 species